GGGGGUGACUAGUGACAGAGUUAGGGAGGGAAGGGGUGACUAGUGACAGAGUGAGGAAGGGGGUGACUAGUGACAGAGGGAGGGGUGACUAGGGACAGAGUGAGGGAUGUGGUGACUAGUGACAGUCACCACCUCCCUCACUCUGUCACUAGUCACCCCCUACCUCACUCUGUCACUGUGUCACCCCUUCCUCUGUCACUGGUCACCCACUCCCUCCCUCCCUCCGUCACUGGUCACCCACUCCCUCCCUCACUUUGUCACCAGUCAUCCCCUCACUCUGUCACUAGUAACCCCCUUCCUUCCCUCACUCUGCAACUAGUCACCCCCUCACUCUAGU